UCCUACGGGAGGCAGCAGUAGGGAAUUUUCCACAAUGGACGAAAGUCUGAUGGAGCAACACCGCGUGAACGAUGAAGGUCUUCGGAUUGUAAAGUUCUGUUGUCAGGGACGAACACGUACCGUUCGAAUAGGGCGGUACCUUGACGGUACCUGACGAGAAAGCCACGGCUAACUACGUGCCAGCAGCCGCGGUAAUACGUAGGUGGCAAGCGUUGUCCGGAUUUAUUGGGCGUAAAGCGCGCGCAGGCGGCUGUGUAAGUCUGGUGUUAAAGCCCGGAGCUCAACUCCGGUUCGCAUCGGAAACUGUGUAGCUUGAGUGCAGAAGAGGAAAGCGGUAUUCCACGUGUAGCGGUGAAAUGCGUAGAGAUGUGGAGGAACACCAGUGGCGAAGGCGGCUCUCUGGUCUGUAACUGACGCUGAGGCGCGAAAGCGUGGGGAGCAAACAGGAUUAGAUACCCUGGUAGUCCACGCCGUAAACGAUGAGUGCUAGGUGUUGGGGGUUUCAAUACCCUCAGUGCCGCAGCUAACGCAAUAAGCACUCCGCCUGGGGAGUACGCUCGCAAGAGUGAAACUCAAAGGAAUUGACGG
rnacentral:rRNA from 1 species